rnacentral:rRNA from 1 species
AGAGUUUGAUUCUGGCUCAGAACGAACGCUGGCGGCGUGGAUAAGACAUGCAAGUCGAACGAGAGAAUUGCUAGCUUGCUAAUAAUUCUCUAGUGGCGCACGGGUGAGUAACACGUGAGUAACCUGCCCCCGAGAGCGGGAUAGCCCUGGGAAACUGGGAUUAAUACCGCAUAGUAUCGAAAGAUUAAAGCAGCAAUGCGCUUGGGGAUGGGCUCGCGGCCUAUUAGUUAGUUGGUGAGGUAACGGCUCACCAAGGCGAUGACGGGUAGCCGGUCUGAGAGGAUGUCCGGCCACACUGGAACUGAGACACGGUCCAGACACCUACGGGUGGCAGCAGUCGAGAAUCAUUCACAAUGGGGGAAACCCUGAUGGUGUGACGCCGCGUGGGGGAAUGAAGGUCUUCGGAUUGUAAACCCCUGUCAUGUGGGAGCAAAUUAAAAAGAUAGUACCACAAGAGGAAGAGACGGCUAACUCUGUGCCAGCAGCCGCGGUAAUACAGAGGUCUCAAGCGUUGUUCGGAAUCACUGGGCGUAAAGCGUGCGUAGGCUGUUUCGUAAGUCGUGUGUGAAAGGCGCGGGCUCAACCCGCGGACGGCACAUGAUACUGCGAGACUAGAGUAAUGGAGGGGGAACCGGAAUUCUCGGUGUAGCAGUGAAAUGCGUAGAUAUCGAGAGGAACACUCGUGGCGAAGGCGGGUUCCUGGACAUUAACUGACGCUGAGGCACGAAGGCCAGGGGAGCGAAAGGGAUUAGAUACCCCUGUAGUCCUGGCAGUAAACGGUGCACGCUUGGUGUGCGGGGAAUCGACCCCCUGCGUGCCGGAGCUAACGCGUUAAGCGUGCCGCCUGGGGAGUACGGUCGCAAGAUUAAAACUCAAAGAAAUUGACGGGGACCCGCACAAGCGGUGGAGUAUGUG